CACAUAUAAUUGAAUCCAAAUUGAUCAAAGCAGGGUUUGAUAAUGCCCCAACAGCUCUUCUCAUCUUCAAGUAAGCCCUAUCAUCACCACACAAACCAGCCAAAACAAUACUGCAUACCCAGAAUCCUGUACUCCUCCAGCAAAGCUUGAAGGAUAACCCAUUCCUUGUCUGAGCUAGAUCUUUUUUUCUCAUCUUCUUUGUUCUCUUGAUCCUUGAACUCUUUUCUCAAACUCUUGAACUCUAUCAUCUUCAGACGCUCCAUCGCCGAGGAAGGUGAAC
rnacentral:misc_RNA from 1 species